UUAAGUCCCGUAACGAGCGCAACCCUUGUCCUUAGUUACCAGCACGUUAUGGUGGGCACUCUAAGGAGACUGCCGGUGACAAACCGGAGGAAGUGGGGAUGACGUCAAGUCAUCAUGGCCCUUACGGCCUGGGCUACACACGUGCUACAAUGGUCGGUACAAAGGGUUGCCAAGCCGCGAGGUGGAGCUAAUCCCAUAAAACCGAUCGUAGUCCGGAUCGCAGUCUGCAACUCGACUGCGUGAAGUCGGAAUCGCUAGUAAUCGUGAAUCAGAAUGUCACGGUGAAUACGUUCCCGGGCCUU
rnacentral:rRNA from 1 species